GCCGCCAUCGCCGGAGCGGGCAGCGCCUGGGCAGCGCGCCCCCCAGCGGCUGGAGGAGGCGCCGUCCCCGGCAGAGAGCGCGUGUUCCCGGCUAGAGGCGCGGAGCUGGCGGAGGGGCCGAAGCGGGCUCGGUCUCUCCGGAGGCGGGAGCGGGGGGGUGGCCCGGGGCGGAGCCGGAGUCUGCAACUCCGACGGGAGGCUAAGGUGGUCAUUUGGGGUCACCAGGGCCCAUUUAAAGGGAAUCAUCAGGAAAGCCUCAGCCGGAGCCCUCGGCGUUGUUCCACGGCAUCUCCGACGAGCGCGGCGGUGCUGCAAACUUGAGCAAUUCGCCUUUCUGCUCGCUGCCAGCCUCCCCUAUGCAGGCCCGUCUCUGCUUCUCGCGGCCCCCCUACCCGCUGCCAGCAGUACAGGGAGGGCACAAGGUGCAGAUGUACCCCGCUGCCCCGGGUGUGUCUGAGCCUUAGCAGUGCCUUCAAAUUCUUUCAGGCUAUGUGAUCUUCAUCACCAGCUUCUCUUCAGUGCUUCCUGCUAGCCCAGCCAUCCACCUUCUCAUGAAAGAGCAACUCUAGGGGCUCAUCCGCAUGGGAAUUUAAUGUGGAUUUGAAACUGCAUGUGCCUUGGUUUUGGGGCGUUGUCCACAUGAUGUUCUCCCCAUUCAACUGACAGCCUAUGGUUCUUCAACGCUAAACCAGAUGCAGGACAUGAGCACAAGAGCCCUCUCCCACUUGUUCUCUCCAGCAGCUGGCAUUCAGAGACCUGCUGCCUCUGACAAUGGAGGUAGAACAUAGCCCUCAUGCCUAGUAGCAAUGACAGAUUGAAGUCUGUUGUGUUACCUUGCUGUACUACAUGUCAUUUAUCCACAAGCAGGGAUGUGGAUGUUCUAGAAAACGUUGCGUCAAUAAAAUUUUCGUGAAAGUUUUCUGCUGCCUUAAAUUGAUAAGGAUCUGAACUACCAUAUAUUUAUUUCACACUUUAAAAUAAUGAUAAUAAUUGUAUGCCACAUUUGUACACUAUAUGGAUUGGAUUUUUUUUUCCAGUACCCAAAAGUUUUUACUGAAAUAAUUGAAUAGGAAAUAAAAUCAAUAAAGUGCA